rnacentral:rRNA from 1 species
CACGUAGGGCGCAAGCGUUGUCCGGAAUUAUUGGGCGUAAAGAGCUCGUAGGCGGUCUGUCGCGUCUGCUGUGAAAAUCAGGGCUCAACCCUGGACCUGCAGUGGGUACGGGCAGACUAGAGUGCGGUAGGGGGAGAUCGGAAUUCCUGGUGUAGCGGUGAAAUGCGCAGAAUAUCAGGAGGAACACCGGUGGCGAAGGCGG